ACCUAGCUGGCUUAGUUGGUAGAGCAUGUGACUCUUGAUCUCAAGCUUUUAAGUUCAAGACCCAAAUUGGGUG
rnacentral:tRNA from 1 species